rnacentral:rRNA from 1 species
CCCUUAGAUGUUCUGGGCCGCACGCGCGCUACACUGACGAAUGCAACGAGCUUAUAACCUUGGCCGAAAGGUCUGGGUAAUCUCCAAAUUUCGUCGUGAUGGGGAUAGAUUAUUGCAAUUAUUAAUCUUCAACGAGGAAUGCCUAGUAAGCGCAAGUCAUCAGCUUGCGUUGAUUACGUCCCUACCCUUUGUACACACCGCCCGUCGCUCCUACCGAUUGAAUGGUCCGGUGAAGCGUUCGGACCGUGGCCUUUGGACGGUUCGCCGUCUGUUGGCUGCGGGAAGUUCGUUAAACCUUAUCAUUUAGAGGAAGGAGAAGUCGUAACA